GCAUAUCUUGUAUGCAGGAUGUCUUUGGUGAAACAUUUUGGAAAGAGCUCCCAACAUAAAGAGCACUUUUACUAGACCUACUGAUCAGCAAAUUGCUAUUUUUAUCUUCCAUUAUUUGACUAGUAUCUAUGAUCUCAGUUAUCUGUGAUGCACAUGGAAACAGACACAACUGAUCUUACAUUCAUCACUCUUGUGAGUUCCAUGUGAAGAAUGAUUUCAAGUGAAGCUUGCUCAGAGGUUUAGAAAUCAUUUGGAUCUGAAGUUCCCAGUGAGACUGAAAGGGUUUUAAUUCAACUUUAAACCAUGUAUACAAUUGUUGAACACUGGUGACAAUGUGCAUUUGGAUCCAAAGACCCUUAUUACCAGGGGCUGGUUAUUUCAAAGGAGACUGGAAUUUUGUUGUUGUUGUAUCUCUUCAGAGCAACUUCUACUCCCAUGUCCUCAGGUUAAUCUCUCAUCCAAUAUAAAAUCCUACUGUACCUCUACUCUGCUGUGGACUUCAUCAGUUUCUGCUGUUUCUUUCUUGAGAGUGAGUCAAAUGCAACUGAGUUCAACAUUACAAAUCUCACAUAUGAGCGUCUAAGCUACUUUGAAAGAUUCUGCUUUGCUCAGUGGGAGCUAAAUAAUACGACGUGAUGGAUACCUUCCAAUCAGAGACAUUUACAUGAAUGUGAAAAGCUAUAAACUAUUUAAGACAGAGCUUGUACUGUGAGACCAACUCAGAGCAUUUCUUUCUGUUUUGUUCUAUUCCUAGUCUAUAUUUUCACAAUGAUCACUUACCAAAGCAAUUAUUGUACCUUUUACAUUGACAGUUACUGACAAAAAUGUUACUUUAUUGUUAACGUUUGCAGUCCUACCAAUUUACUCUGCCAUCUUCUUUAAACCAAUACCAUUAUAAUAAUAUAGGAAAAAUGAUUAUGAAUAAUUUUUUGUUUGAAUCACUUGUAGCCCUGAUUUUCUGCUAAGCAAACAGAAAAGUUGGGUGAGACAUUUAUUAAUUGAUGAUUCUACAAAUGUUACCUUUCUUUGAAUAAUUUAAUUCUGCUUUAAUAAAAACAACUUG
ensembl:lncRNA